rnacentral:rRNA from 1 species
UACAGAGGGUGCAAGCGUUGUUCGGAAUUAUUGGGCGUAAAGCGCGUGUAGGCGGCAUUGCAAGUCGGGUGUGAAAGCCCUCAGCUCAACUGAGGAAGUGCGCCCGAAACUGCAGUGCUUGAAUACCGGAGAGGGUAGCGGAAUUCCCCAAGUAGAGGUGAAAUUCGUAGAUAUCUGGAAGAACACCAGUGGCGAAGGCGGCGACCUGGGUAGAUACUGACGCUGAGGCGCGAAAGUGUGGGGAGCGAACAGG